ACAAUCUCGCGGUGCGCCGCUUUCCAAGCCCGUCCGAAAAGCGCAGUAUUCGGGUGGGAGUGACCCGAUUUUCCAGGUGCCGUCUGUCACCCCUUUCUUUGACUCAGAAAGGGAACUCCCUGACCCCUUGUGCUUCCCAAGUGAGGCAAUGCCUCGCCCUGCUUCGGCUCGCGCACGGUGCGCGCACCCACUGACCUGCGCCCACUGUCUGGCACUCCCUAGUGAGAUGAACCCGGUACCUCAGAUGGAAAUGCAGAAAUCACCCGUCUUCUGCGUCGCUCACGCUGGGAGCUGUAGACCGGAGCUGUUCCUAUUCGGCCAUCUUGGCUCCUCCCUAUUUUUUUUCUUUUAAAUAACAAUUUCCUGGACACAUAUCAGCCAAACUAAAGAGUAACAACCAAAGUAAACUUGUAGGUGUGAGACUGAAGUUUUGUUGUUGCUUUUUUUUUUUUUUUGAGACGGAGUCUUGCUCAGUUGCCCAGGAUGCAGUGGCGGGAUCUCGGCUCACUGCAAGCUCCGCCUCCCGGGCUCACGCCAUUCUCCUGCCUCAGCCUCCUGAGCAGCUGGGACUACAGUUGCCCGCCACUAUGCCCGGCUAAUUUUGUUUGUAUUUUUAGUAGAAAUGGGGUUUCACCGUGUUAGCCAGGAUGGUCUCGGUCUCCUGACCUCGUGAUCUGCCCGUCUCGGCCUCCCAAAGUGCUGGGAUUACAGGCGUGAGCCACUGCUCCCAGCCUGUUGUUGCUUCUUUAAUGGGCAAAGUUCAGCAUCAUCCUCUCUGCUGAAAUAACCAACAUGGUGCUCAUUAAUUGGUCAUGUGAGCACUAAGGAUAACCACCCUCCCCUCCUCAAUCAGGAUCACUUUCUAUUUUUAUUGAUGCCCAGAAAGGCUUUCUUUUGUGCCUAGCCCAAGAUCUGAUCACAAAUGCUAGCUUUCAUAUGGAUUUCAAGCUGGGUGAAAUGACUUUUUUUGCUUGUAAAGAAGAAAUGAUGAUGGAGGUCUCAUCAGGAAGUGAUGCAGAAGACUGGGACAGGCUGGAGUGCAAUGGUGUUAUCUUGGCUCACUGCAACCUUCACCUCCUGGGUUCAAGCGAUUCUCCUGCCUCAGCCUCCUCAGUAGCUGGAAUUACAGUUCUCUGCAGUACUUGGAAGUCAGGAUGUGUGAAAGAUUUCCUAUGG
rnacentral:lncRNA from 1 species